rnacentral:rRNA from 1 species
GACGAACCGUCCUAACGUUGUUCGGAAUCACUGGGCUUAAAGGGCGCGUAGGCGGGUUCCCAAGUCGGUGGUGAAAUCUUUCGGCCCAACCGGAAAACAGCCGCCGAUACUGGGAGUCUUGAGGGAGGUAGGGGUCGAUGGAACUUCCGGUGGAGCGGUGAAAUGCGUAGAUAUCGGAAGGAACGCCGGAGGCGAAAGCGAUCGACUGGAAAUUUGCUGACGCUGAGGCGCGAAAGCCAGGGGAGCAAACGGG